rnacentral:rRNA from 1 species
AUUGAACGCUGGCGGCAGGCCUAACACAUGCAAGUCGAACGAGUGGCGGCCGGGUGAGUAAUGUCUGGGAAACUGCCUGAUGGAGGGGGAUAACUACUGGAAACGGUAGCUAAUACCGCAUACCAUCGGAUGUGCCCAGAUGGGCUUAGCUAGUAGGUGGGGUAACGGCUCACCUAGUGGACGAUCCCUAGCUGGUCUGAGAGGAUGACCAGCCACACUGCAACUGGGACACGGUCCAGACUCCUAGGGGAGGCAGCAGUGGGGAAUGUUGCACGAUGGGCGAAAGCCUGAUACAGCCAUGCAGCGUGUAUGAAGAGGGCCUUCGGGUUGUAAGGUUCUUUCAGCGAGGAGGCGUUACUCGCAGAAGAAGCACCGGCUAACUCCGUGCCAGCAGCCGCGGUAAUUC